rnacentral:rRNA from 1 species
CACGGUAAACGAUGGAUGCCCGCUGUUUGCCCUUCGGGGUGAGUGGCUAAGCGAAAGCGUUAAGCAUCCCACCUGGGGAGUACGCCGGCAACGGUGAAACUCAAAGGAAUUGACGGGGGCCCGCACAAGCGGAGGAACAUGUGGUUUAAUUCGAUGAUACGCGAGGAACCUUACCCGGGCUUGAAUUGCAGAUGACGGAUCUAGAGAUAGUGACUUCCUUCGGGACAUCUGUGAAGGUGCUGCAUGGUUGUCGUCAGCUCGUGCCGUGAGGUGUCGGCUUAAGUGCCAUAACGAGCGCAACCCUUCUCUUCAGUUGCCAUCAGGUCAAGCUGGGCACUCUGGAGACACUGCCACCGUAAGGUGUGAGGAAGGUGGGGAUGACGUCAAAUCAGCACGGCCCUUACGUCCGGGGCUACACACGUGUUACAAUGGCCGGUACAGAAAGUCGGAUGCCCGUAAGGUCAUUCUAAUCAAGAAAGCCGGUCCCAGUUCGGACUGAGGUCUGCAACCCGACC